UACGGGAGGCAGCAGUGGGGAAUAUUGGACAAUGGGGGAACCCUGAUCCAGCCAUGCCGCGUGUGUGAAGAAGGCCUUAUGGUUGUAAAGCACUUUAAGCGAGGAGGAGGCUACUGAGACUAAUACUCUUGGAUAGUGGACGUUACUCGCAGAAUAAGCACCGGCUAACUCUGUGCCAGCAGCCGCGGUAAUACAGAGGGUGCGAGCGUUAAUCGGAUUUACUGGGCGUAAAGCGUGCGUAGGCGGCUUUUUUAAGUCGGAUGUGAAAAUCCCCGAGCUUAACUUGGGAAUUGCAUUCGAUACUGGGAAGCUAGAGUAUGGGAGAGGAUGGUAGAAUUCCAGGUGUAGCGGUGAAAUGCGUAGAGAUCUGGAGGAAAUACCGGAAUGGCGAAAGGGCAGCCAUCUGGGCCUAAAUACUGACGCUCAUGUGCGAAAAGCGUGGGGAGGCAAAACAAGGAUUAGGAUACC
rnacentral:rRNA from 1 species